rnacentral:rRNA from 1 species
GACGAACGCUGGCGGCGUGCUUAACACAUGCAAGUCGAACGGGCCUGUCUUCUUUUUUGGGGGUGGGUUGAGUGGCGAACGGGUGAGUAUCACGUGAGUAACCUGCCCUUCGGUCCUGGAUAACCGCUUGAAAGGGCGGCUAAUACGGGGUGGUCCGGUUGGUCCGCAUGGGCUGGUCGGGAUAGAUUCACUGUUUUUGGUGUUUCGGCGGGGGAUGGGCUCGCGGCCUAUCAGCUUGUUGGUGGGGUGAUGGCCUACCAAGGCGGUGACGGGUAGCCGGCCUGAGAGGGUGGGCGGCCACACUGGGACUGAGAUACGGCCCAGACUCCUGCGGGAGGCAGCAGUGGGGGGUAUUGCACAAUGGGCGGAAGCCUGAUGUAGCGACGUCGCGUGAGGGAGGGAGGCCUUCGGGUUGUGAACCUCUGUUUCCGGUGGUGAAGGCCCUGUCCGUGUGGUGGGGUUGACGGUAGCCGGGGAUGAAGCGCCGGCUAACUACGUG